UGGGGAUUGGCUCAGUGGCAGAGUGCUUGCCUAAUAUGUAUGAGACCCUGAGUUCAAACUCAGCCAG
rnacentral:tRNA from 1 species